AACGCGUGGGAACGUACCUUUCACUACGGAAUAGCUCUUGGAAACGAGUGGUAAUACCGUAUACGCCCUUCGGGGGAAAGAUUUAUCGGUGAAAGAUCGGCCCGCGUUAGAUUAGCUAGUUGGUAGGGUAAUGGCCUACCAAGGCGACGAUCUAUAGCUGGUCUGAGAGGAUGAUCAGCCACACUGGGACUGAGACACGGCCCAGACUCCUACGGGAGGCAGCAGUGGGGAAUCUUGCACAAUGGGCGAAAGCCUGAUGCAGCCAUGCCGCGUGAAUGAUGAAGGCCUUAGGGUUGUAAAAUUCUUUCGCUAGGGAUGAUAAUGACAGUACCUAGUAAAGAAGCCCCGGCUAACUUCGUGCCAGCAGCCGCGGUAAUACGAAGGGGGCUAGCGUUGUUCGGAAUUACUGGGCGUAAAGCGCACGUAGGCGGACUUUUAAGUCAGAUGUGAAAUCCCGGGGCUCAACCUCGGAACUGCAUUUGAAACUGGAAGUCUAGAGACCAGGAGAGGUUAGCGGAAUACCGAGUGUAGAGGUGAAAUUCGUAGAUAUUCGGUGGAACACCAGUGGCGAAGGCGGCUAACUGGACUGGUACUGACGC
rnacentral:rRNA from 1 species